CCACCUUUGACAUGUACGGAAGUCGCUAGAGAUAGCUUCGUGCUCGAAAGAGAACCGUAACACAGGUGCUGCAUGGCUGUCGUCAGCUCGUGUCGUGAGAUGUUGGGUUAAGUCCCGCAACGAGCGCAACCCUUGUCAUUAGUUGCUACAUUCAGUUGGGCACUCUAAUGAGACUGCCGGUGACAAACCGGAGGAAGGUGGGGAUGACGUCAAGUCCUCAUGGCCCUUAUAGGUGGGGCUACACACGUCAUACAAUGGCUGGUACAAAGGGUUGCCAACCCGCGAGGGGGAGCUAAUCCCAUAAAACCAGUCGUAGUCCGGAUCGCAGUCUGCAACUCGACUGCGUGAAGUCGGAAUCGCUAGUAAUCGUGGAUCAGAAUGUCACGGUGAAACG
rnacentral:rRNA from 1 species